CACUAGGUGUCUGAAGCAAGUUGGGGUCUCUUAAACCUCCUAUAGUAAUUUAGCAAUUACUCCUAGUGA
rnacentral:tRNA from 1 species